rnacentral:rRNA from 1 species
CACUCCUGCGGGAGGCAGCAGUGGGGAAUUUUGGACAAUGGGCGAAAGCCUGAUCCAGCAAUGCCGCGUGAGUGAAGAAGGCCUUCGGGUUGUAAAGCUCUUUUGUCAGGGAAGAAACGGUGAGAGCUAAUAUCUCUUGCUAAUGACGGUACCUGAAGAAUAAGCACCGGCUAACUACGUGCCAGCAGCCGCGGUAAUACGUAGGGUGCAAGCGUUAAUCGGAAUUACUGGGCGUAAAGCGUGCGCAGGCGGUUUUGUAAGUCUGAUGUGAAAUCCCCGGGCUCAACCUGGGAAUUGCAUUGGAGACUGCAAGGCUAGAAUCUGGCAGAGGGGGGUAGAAUUCCACGUGUAGCAGUGAAAUGCGUAGAUAUGUGGAGGAACACCGAUGGCGAAGGCAGCCCCCUGGGUCAAGAUUGACGCUCAUGCACGAAAGCGUGGGGAGCAAACAGGAUUAGAUACCCGUGUAGUCCCAUGA